rnacentral:lncRNA from 1 species
AGUUUCAGGACACAUAAAUGAACGGCGAGAAUAUCAUUGCAAUCAGCAUCACAUCAAUGGCAACUGAUAAUUUUCUUCUCUUUUGGUCAACUAAACCGAACCAUGAAGAGAAUAUAUUUCAUGAUGGUUAGAGACUCGUGCUGAUAACGUGUUAUGAAAUAAUAUAAGAACAAGAACAAUAGAGAGAAAAGUAGAGAGAGAGGAGUAUUCUUAUUG